rnacentral:rRNA from 1 species
CGGGUGAGUAACACGUAUGCAACCUGCCUGCCACAGCCGGAUAAUCGGGAGAAAUUCCGUCUAAUACGGCAUAAUGCAUCGACGGGACAUCCUGUUGGUGCCAAAGGUUGAUUUCGGUGGCGGAUGGGCAUGCGUCGCAUUAGUUAGUUGGCGGUGUAACGGACCACCAAGACGACGAUGCGUAGGGGUUCUGAGAGGAAGGUCCCCCACACUGGUACUGAGACACGGACCAGACUCCUACGGAAGGCAGCAG